rnacentral:lncRNA from 10 species
CGGAAUUAACGGAAGCUGCUGAUAGCCCUGCUGACCUCAUUGGAUGGAACCGUGUCCUCAGCAGACAGGAGCUCCUUCCUCUUCUGAGUGAGACUCCCUCCUAUCUUGGAGCAGGAAGUCCUCUCAGGAGAAGUCCAAGCUUCAGACAGAGAAGGAGCAGACCUUAGUCAAAGUGAAACAGGGGUUCGGGUGUGAGAAACGUCCUGCCUAACCACCUGACCACAAGGCAGACAAAGGCCUAACCAAAGACACAUCUCUAUCAUAUCAUGCUGGACAAAGAUCCGAGGAACACCACAACGAAAUCCCACUGGAACAAGGGCCAGAACCAUCUCAUCACGGGAACAUCUUAUCAAUAUCCUGCCAGGCAGCAAGCCAUACUGCCCGGACCCCUUUGGCCCAUAAAUUGCCCCAGCCUGUAAGCAGCAGUGGGCUCUGGCAUUAUGCUGGUUCCUGACUUCUGUAGGUUUUAUGCUGGACAUAAAGCCUGCAUUUGCUAUUAAGCCACCCUCUUACGUAUGUCUUUCUUUAACCCUCGCCUUCCCUUCAAAACCUAACACCCAGUUUUGUCCACUGGAAUAAAG